ACCUAAUAAUACAAAAAGACUAAAAUCUGAUUUUCUAUCUCCCGUUCCCCUUCUCCUUCCCCGUUCCACUUCUCUGUCAUCCAAUACACGCCUCACAGUCAAACCUUCGCCGUCGUCCAAAACAUUCUCCGUCGUCCAAAACAGACCCUACGGCCAAAGCCCUUCUCCAUCAUCCAAAACCCAGACCCAUAUUAGCAUCCUUGUGACUAGCAAUACGAAAAAGCUCCAGAAACCUGUCCCUUGAUGUAAUCCACCCACACCAUGGGUGCUAGAAUCUAUAAGGAUCCAUCUUCCACCUUGAGAUUCACAAACCUAAAACUCCUCCAAAACCCGAUCCCAUUCCCCUUCUCCGUCGUCCAAAACGCCUCUGAAGUGAUUCACUCCAAUCGCAGAUACAGGGAUUUUCACUUCCUAACUCUCGGGUGUGUUGGGUUUUGGCCUUCAACUGCAACUGAAGCCAGUCUCCUCUGUAAAAGAAGUCCAAACCCGAGAUUUGCAUAAGCAUGUACCAGAAAAUGUUAAUGGAGCUCUUCAUUUCUCUAUUAAGUGUUAGGAAACUGGGAAUUAAUUUUGCCAAGUGAAGCGUACAAUUUCUUUACCAUAAACAGUCCAUCUUGGCAAAGCUAAUAACUCCCAAGGGGUAAAGUUUAGCUUUGAACGGUAUUGGAUUCAAUUGAAAUUUUCUCUCAACCUGUUCUUUCUAAUUCUGCGAAGUCAAAGAAUUAGUAGAGCUGAUACAUUGAUUGUCUUGAAUACUUUUUGGCCUUUAUAUGCGUGUCUUCCACAUUCUUAAUUCCUUUAGACUAGAUUUUAGUAUGAGUUUUGGAGUCCUAGAAAAAAAAGAUAUGUCUCAUGAAAAAACAUGUCAUUGAUGAUGCAAUUUAUAUAACUAUUGAUAUCUAUUUAUAGGUAUAUAUUGCAAUAUUUAUGGUUUGAAUUUAUACAAUAAAUGUGGUUGCUCAUUUCCAUUA